GAUCACAUCAUCUCUGCUGCACGUGCUCAGCCAGUUGAGGAAUCGGAGGUUCAGAUAUGGAGUGUUUCUCUGCACUUUAAAUAGAGCCAAAAUACCACAGCGAUAUGUCGGGAAGAAGGUUUGUGGUGAUCACAACAUGCAGACGACAGCGGGAGGCAGCAUACAGUGCGGUGGCUAUGGAUGAAGUGCUGGCUGUCCAGAGUCGGGACCCGGGGUGGACCGCUCACCUGUGCAUCGGUUGCUGACCUGUCUCCGCUCGGGAUGGUCUCCUGCUGGCCCCACUAUGGACU